rnacentral:rRNA from 1 species
AACGAACGCUGGCGGCAGGCCUAACACAUGCAAGUCGAACGCCGUAGCAAUACGGAGUGGCAGACGGGUGAGUAACGCGUGGGAACAUACCCCUCGGUUCGGAAUAACUCAGGGAAACUUGAGCUAAUACCGGAUACGUCCGAGGUUUUGAUCGACCUUGGAGAAAGAUUUAUCGCCGAAGGAUUGGCCCCGCGUCUGAUUAGCUUGUUGGUGAGGUAAUGGCUCACCAAGGCGACGAUCAGUAGCUGGUCUGAGAGGAUGAUCAGCCACAUUGGGACUGAGACACGGCCCAAACUCCUACGGGAGGCAGCAGUGGGGAAUAUUGGACAAUGGGCGAAAGCCUGAUCCAGCCAUGCCGCGUGAGUGAUGAAGGCCUC